GAUCCAACAACAUCAACAGCUGUAACUUCAGAAUCCACAACUCUCACUUCAACAACAAUGCCUACAUCUACAGAAACAACUGCACCUUUAACAACUUCAGUAUCUACAGCAUCCUCAACUACUGACAUUCCCACAACCACAGUUGUGAGUACAGAAACCACAUCUAUUACUUCAACAGUGGUGCCUACAACUUCAGAGAGUACAACAGCAGAAACCACGACUACAGUUUCAUCAACUAUAUCUACAACAACAUACGAUCCAACAACAUCAACAGCUGUAAAUUCUGAAUCUACAACUCUUACUUCAACAACAAUGCCUACACCUUCAGAAACAACUGCACCUGUAACAACAUCAGUAACUACAGCAUCCUCAACUACUGAAAUUCCCACAACCACAGUUGUGAGUACAGAAACAACAUCUAUUACUUCAACAGUGGUGCCUACAACUUCAGAAAGUACAACAGCAGAAACCACGACUACAGCUUCAUCAACCACACCUACAACAACAAACGAUCCAACAACAUCAACAGCUGUAACUUCAGAAUCCACAACUCUCACUUCAACAACAAUGCCUACACCUUCAGAAACAACUGCACCUGUAACAACAUCAGUAACUACAGCAUCCUCAACUACUGAAAUUCCCACAACCACAGUUGUGAGUACAGAAACAACAUCUAUUACUUCAACAGUGGUGCCUACAACUUCAGAAAGUACAACAGCAGAAACCACGACUACAGCUUCAUCAACCACACCUACAACAACAAACGAUCCAACAACAUCAACAGCUGUAACUUCAGAAUCCACAACUCUCACUUCAACAACAAUGCCUACACCUUCAGAAACAACUGCACCUGUAACAACAUCAGUAACUACAGCAUCCUCAACUACUGAAAUUCCCACAACCACAGUUGUGAGUACAGAAACAACAUCUAUUACUUCAACAGUGGUGCCUACAACUUCAGAAAGUACAACAGCAGAAACCACGACUACAGCUUCAUCAACCACACCUACAACAACAAACGAUCCAACAACAUCAACAGCUGUAACUUCAGAAUCCACAACUCUCACUUCAACAACAAUGCCUACACCUUCAGAAACAACUGCACCUGUAACAACAUCAGUAACUACAGCAUCCUCAACUACUGAAAUUCCCACAACCACAGUUGUGAGUACAGAAACAACAUCUAUUACUUCAACAGUGGUGCCUACAACUUCAGAAAGUACAACAGCAGAAACCACGACUACAGCUUCAUCAACCACACCUACAACAACAAACGAUCCAACAACAUCAACAGCUGUAACUUCAGAAUCCACAACUCUUACUUCAACAACAAUGUCUACAUCUUCAGAAUCGACUGCACCUGUAACAACAUCAGUAACUAGAGCAUCCUCAACUACGGAAAUUCCCACUACCACAGUUGUGAGUACAGAAACAACAUCUAUUACUUCAACUGUGGUGCCUACAACUUCAGAGAGUACAACAGCAGAAACCACGACUACAGCUUCAUCAACAACACCUACAACAUCAAACGAUCCAACAACAUCAACAGCUCUAACUUCAGAAUCCACAACUCUUACUUCAACAACGAAUACAUCUUCAGAAACAAAUGUAGCUGUAACAACAUCAGUAACUACAGCAUCCUCAGCUACUGAAAUUCCCACAACUACAGUUGUGAGUAUAGAAACCACACCAAUUACUGCAACAGUGGUGCUUACAACUUUAGAAAGUACAACAGCCGAAACCACGACUACAGCUUUGUCAACCACACCUACAACAGGAAACGAUCCAACAACAUCAACAGCUGUAACUUCAGAAACCACAUCUAUUACUUCAACAGUGGUGCCUACAACUUCAGAGAGUACAACAGCAGAAACCACGACUACAUCUUCUUCAAAUAUAUCUAUGACAACAAAUAAUCCAACAACAUCAACAGCUGUAAUUUCAGAAUCCACAACUCUCACUUCAACAACAAUGCCUACAUCUUCAGAAACAACUGCACCUCUAACAACAUCAAUAACUACAGCAUCCUCAACUACUGAAAUUUCCACAACCGCAGUUGUGAGUACAGAAACCACAUCUAUUACUUCAACAGUGGUGCCUACAACUUCAGAAAGUACAACAGCAGAAACCACGACUACAGCUUUAUUAACCACACCUACAACAACAAACGAUCCAAAAUCAACAGUUGUAACUUCAGAAUCCACAACUCUCACUUCAACAAUAUUGCCUACAUCUUCAGAAACAACUGCACCUGUAACAACAUCAGUACCUAAAGCAUCCUCAACUACUGAAAUUCCCACAACCACAGUUGUGAGUACAGAAACCACACAAAUUACUUCAACAGUGGUGCCUACAACUUCAGAAAGUACAACAGCAGAAACCACGACUACAGCUUCAUUAACCACACCUACAGCAACAAAGGAUCCAACAACAUCAACAGCUGCAACUUCAGAAUCCACAACUCUCACUUCAACAACAAUACCUACAUCUACAGAAACAACUGCACCUGUAACAACAUCAGUAACUACAGCAUCCUCAACCAAUGAAAUUCCCACAACCACAGUUGUGAGUACAGAAACUACAGUUUCCUCAACUACAACUGUUCCUUCCACUGUUACAUCAACUCUAAUGUCAUCUGAAGUUCCAAGUACAACAACAUCUCAAAUGACAUUGCCACUUGCAAUCACAUCUACUGGAGCUCUCACAUCCACAGUUGUGACUUCAGAAGCAACAACUUUUACAUCUACAACAAUGCCUACAACAUCAGAAAGUACAACUACACCUGCAGCAAGCACACCUGCAGCUUCCACAACCACAGUGGGGCCUUCCACCUCUGUGACUACAUCUUCCGAAACUACAACUGCAUCCUCGACAUCUGCGGCUUCCUCAACUAUGCCUUCUACUACUUCAUCAUCUCCAACCUCAUCUAAAUCUCCAGGUAUAACAACAAAUGAUCCAACAACAUCAACAGCUGUAACUUCAACAACAAUGGCUACAUCUUCAAAAACAUCUGCACCUGUAACAACAUCAGUAACUACAGCUUCCUCAACUACAACUGUAGCUUCAACAAUGACAACAGCAGCUUCUACAACCACAAAUCAACCUUCCACUAUGACAUCAGCUCCAACUUCAUCUGAUGCUCCAAGUUCAACAACAGCUCAAAUCACAAUGUCUAGUGCAGCUGCAACUACUGAAGUUGUGAGUCCAGAUACCACAACUGUUGCAUCAAAAACAAUUUCUACAAAUUCAGAAACUGCAAGUUCUCUUACAACAACCACAUCUACAGCUUCCACCACCACAUUCAUUCCUUCCACUACUACAUCGGAUCAAACCUCACCUGAAGCUGCAAGUACAACAACAAAAGGUCUGAGCACAACUUCAGAAAGCAUAGCUUUACCUGCAACAACCACAGAUUCCACAACCAUGAUGGUAUCUUCAACUACUACAUCAAGUUUAACCUCAUCUACAGCUCCAGAAACUCUUGCAUCAACAAAAAUGUCUGCAACUUCUGCUACCUCAACUAUGACAGUACCUCUCUCUAUUACAUCAGCUGCAACCUCACCUGAAGCUCAAAGUACAACUAAAGCUCAACCCCCAACAAUAUUUGCACCUGCAUCAACAGUCAUAACCUCAGAAACCACAACUCUUGCAUCAUCAACAAUGCCUACAGCUUCAGCUUCCACAUCAACAGUAGUACCUCCUACAACUUCAUCAGCUCCAACCUCAUCUGAAUCUUCAAGGACAACAACAGCUCAGAUCACAGUGGCAAUUGAAACCACAGCAACAGUUGUCAAUCCUGCUCCAAUGUCUACAACUUCAGAAAGUACAGCUGCAUAUAAAACAACAUCAACCUCAGCUACCAAAAUAGUACCUUCAAAAAUUACAUCAGCUGCAACCUCAUCUGAAGCUCCAAGUACAAAAACAGCUGAAACCACAAUGACACUUGCAGCCACAACUAUUGAAACCUCAACUCUUACUUCACCAGCAAUGUCUACAACUUCAGAAAGUACUCCUGUACCUGUAACAUCCACCAUUACAGCUUCCUCUUCUAUGACUGUACCUUCCACUGCUUUGUCAUCUUCAGUCUCAUCUGAAGCUGCAAGUAGAACAACAAAAGGUCCAACCACAUCCACAAUUACAGCCACAACAACGUCUGCAACUUCAUCAACAACAGUCAAAACCACAACUUCAACUCUAACUCUGUCUCCAGUUACAUCAAGAUUAGCAACAACAACAAAUAACUAUCCCGCAACUGAAAGUCCAGCUCAAACCUCAGCUUCAAUUCCAGGAACAAACACACCUACAGCGGCAACAACAACUGCAUUUCAAAUAACAACUGCACCUCUAUCAAGCACAACUAUUGCUUUCACUAAUACUCUAGCUCUAAGCCAAGCAGCACUCCUUACCACAACAAAUGCACCUCCAAUAAUCACAGUUGUGUCCCCGGAGACCAUAACUACUGCUGUAACAAUUAUGCCUAUCUCAUCAUCGCAUGUAACUAUAUCCCCAACUUUAACUCCAACAAAAACAACUGAACCUCCAAGAACCCAAACUACACCCAUUACAACCGUGACUGUUCUUCCCACAACUACAAUUACAGCAGAUAUCUCAGCUCCAGCUCCAAGCACAACAACAGCCACCAUUCCAAGUUCAACUGCAGCUCAAACAACAACUGCAUUUCAAGUAACAACAGGAGGCCUUUUAAGAACAACUGUAGCUUUUACCAGCACAUCUGCUGCUCCAGCCACACUUGCACUUUCAACCAAAACAACUUCAAGCCCAAACAUAGAUUCAGAAACUACAACUGCAUCAACAACUACAACUGGAAUUAUUACAGGUCUCACCAGUGCAGCAGAAUUUCCAAUAGCUCCAAUAACAUCAGUUCCAAACACAAAUACGUCAACAUCCCCAGCAUCUACAAUUCACGGUCAAACAUCAAUCAAAACAACACCAGCUGAAACUCUUACUAGCAAUACUACACCUCUAGACAAUACAACAAAAACAGAGGCAUCUGCAACACUUCAAAGUGCUUCAAGUUCGCAACCAGAAACUUCAAACAUACCCAAAACAUUGUCAACGAAUGUGACUGGUGCAGCAACAGUCACAACCAAAUUGGUAUUCUCAUCCUUGUCGUCAGUGCCCACUGAAGAUUUGGUCCUAGGUGCUAUCGGUACACUUCUGGAAUCUAGAGAGUCACAACUCAAUGAAUCACUGCAGAUUGUCAAUGUUACCUAUCAGAAAAUCUCAGAAACCUCCUAUGUCGUCAUCUUCGAGUUUAGACUGAGUAACCUAAGCAUGCCAGAGAACCCUGAGCUAAGAAACAGCAGUUACGUGCAAGUACAAGAUGUCAUCAAUAAUGCGCUGAACACUCUUCUGAAUGAACCUGGCAGUCCAAAUUUACAACCUAAGUCAUCAAACUUCACGAGCACUUCAAAGCAGAUUGAUGGCAGGAUGGAAUACACCUUCCAGGAUGGAGAUGUCAUACAACCAGUCAGCUUCCUCAAUGAGCUUCGCUCACAGACAGUCUUAACGACAGCCAGCACUCUGACAACUACUCCACCGAUAGUGCUUGGCAGAGCGCUUAUAUUCAUUCGCCUCGUGUUUGUCACACUGGGCCCCCUGCCAAAUCCAGAGAAGGUUCUUGAGGUGGCCAACACUCUGCUGAACACGCGUCUCACAACUAAACAAGACACCAAAACACAAGCCCUGAGUGAUCCUGUGAGCUUUGUCAAUGUCACAUAUACAAAAAUAAAUGAGACGGCCUAUGCUCUCGACUUUGGAUUUGAAAUCAGCAAUAUAACCAUGUCUGAGAAGCUUGAACUCAGGGAUGGCACCCACCUGACAAUACAAGACUCUAUAAACACAUUGCUGGGCAAGAUGCUCCUCAGUAACUCCUCAGCUCCUCUCAUUAAGUUCCAACCAGCUGAUUUCACGGGUAAUUCCACAGUAAUUAAGGCCAAUGUAGAGUAUGUUUUCUCACCAAGUGACAUCACGAAACCCAGCAUCUUUGUUCAGGAACUUCUCCAACUUGACGGAGCGAGCAUUCUGACAACCACAACUUCACCACCGAUCUUGACUAGGAGGGGAAUUAUUAAGAUUCGUCUCGAGUUUAUCACACUGGGCCCAAGACCAAGUGAGAGUAAUGUUCUACAGGUGGUUAAAUCUAUGCUGGCCUCAAAUCUCACAACUAAACUAACCACGAGAGUAACAAGCAUGAGUGAACCUCUGUCCUUGGAGAAUGUUGAGUAUUUGGGUAUUAAUGACACCGCCUACGCACUCAUUUUUGCAUUUGAAAUAAACAAAGUAUCACUGACAGAGAUAAAUAGGAAAGAAGCCUAUCAAGAAAUCCAAAAGAAGAUAAAUGAUUUGGUGAUCCAGAUACUAAAGGACCCCUCGGUUAAUCUGCUCAUUCCAGCCGAUUUCAAGGAUGAUCUCUUUGUGAUUCAGGCCAAUGUUACGUAUGUUUUCUCACAACGUGACAGCAACACGGCCUCCGGUUUCUUGGUCAGUGCCCUUUUCACGGCUUUUACCACACCAGUUCCAACCACCAUGAACGCUACAACCUCCAACAAUGGUACAAACGUAGCAUGGAUUGUGGCUAUCAUUGUCCCCUGCGCUAUUGUCAUCGGGCUCGUACCUUGCUGGAUUCUCCUUUGCUGUUUGCUGUGUGGUUGCUGUGCAGCAAUCAGAAGACGUUGGCACAGAAGACAGUCGUACAAUGUGCAGUACACCACUCGAAACAGCCUCUUCUAGACAAUUCAGAGAUAUUUGACAAAAACAGGACUGAACACCAAUGACAACAUAAAAAUCAUGUAUUUUGGAUAUUCAAUAUGCUAUUCAAGACUGCUUCUUUUGUAGUAAUGAAAGUACUAUGUUAAUGCUUCUUUUAUAAAUUAUUUAUUUUAUUAUGCUAUAUAUAAACAGGUCCUCCAUAAAAUAUUCCUAAAUGUGAAAUUUUAAUACUUCCUAUAGUGUAUAAUGAAAUUGUAUUGUUGUUAUUUAUUUGUAUUUAUUUGUAAUAUUCUGUUUAUGUUUACAGUUAAUAAUCUUUUGCAAAUCAUUAGUCUGCUUGACACUACACAGUUUAAUUUAAAGGGACAAAAGGUAGAACAUUGGAAUUAGAGCUAUUAUUCAUUCAUGCUCCAUGCACUUUAACUUUAUAAAUGUAAAGCAAAUGUAAAGCAAGCACAUGAUGUAAAGGAAAUGCAAAAAAGCUAAUUUAUGUAAUUAAUUGGUAUGAACAUGUUAAACUGCAAAAAAAAAAAAAACUAAUAAAAAUACUAGAUCAAUAAAGAAUACAGAAAAAUACAGAGGUUUGUGUUUCUCGUUUCUCGCUUUUAAUGUUAGAUGUGCAACAACAUUGCAGUCAGUAGGCUGCUGUGGUUAGAGUAAAAUAAAUUGAAGUAAAAUUAAAUAAAAAAAAACUAGUUUUGCAAUAAUAAAUACAUAGUGGUAAUCAUUCAGGAAAAACAUGAAAAUAAAACUAAAAAAGCCCAGCAAUCAUAAAUGCAAUGAAUUGCAUUUAAAAUCUAUGCAUUUUAUGAUUUAUUUAUGUAAGGCAAGACACACCAGGGCUGUGUUCAGCAACUUCAGCCCCGACAAAAACGGUGCAAAACGUUUUUUUUUAAACGGAAACGGUGGUGCGUUGAGCACACUGUUCUGAUGACGCA
ensembl:lncRNA mucin-17-like